UUUAGUUUUGUGUGAGCGGUGUUAUAAUAUACUUUUCCGGUUUGAUUCAUUCGUUUUAAUAAUAUCUAUUUAUUAAAAUUGGUGCGUUUGUGAGCUGUUUUAAGAUUGGUUUGUUGAUGCUGCUGGUAAGACGAGGCAUUUCAAUGAUCGAAUCCUGAGAAUUGGAUCACAUCGAGGAUCCAGAUUUUGAAGCAAACUCCGAAUCAGAUUUGUUUGGUUGGAUACUUUGAUGGCAUGUAGGACAAAACUACAUACACAGCGCUGUUUUGUUGAAUACUAAUUAGCUCAGCACAUGGUUCGACACUACAAAUAAUUUUUCCGAUGAACAUGGACGAAAUCAGGAGUAACAUCGUACCCAACAAUCUUAUAUAGCAGCGGCCAACAAUCCAACAACACCAGACGUACAUCUCUGAACUAUAGUAUACAGUUAAACAGAAUUAGCAACCGUCGUCCUAUCAACAGUAAACAGCCGGAUGUAUUUGAGUAUUCCAAUUCCCUCCAAGGCCCUGUCGGUCUUUCCUGAGCUCGUGAAACAUCAAAUCAUGGAAUGCUUAGAAGCUCAUCGUAACAUUUACUACCAUCUUACAAACAGUAAAUCCAUACAAGUAGAUCCAUCAAUCCAACAUGGAAAUUGGAAGCGGUGGCAGGACAGUAGUGACUUCCCGCCGGAGACGGUGGGGAAUAAAUCAAGCUCGGAAUACGACACUCACGAACAGGUGCACGGUGCACGGACAGAUAAACCUCCCCAUAGGAACUUUCAUAACCGUCUGAUUGAUGCAAAUAAUGCUCAUAACUUUUGUUCUAUUGAAGAGGAAGAAGGCAAAGAUACUCUCAAGCGGCACCCGCUGGUAGCCAACCGAUUCAUUUUUAUUAA